rnacentral:rRNA from 1 species
UCGCAGAUCAGAAUGCUGCGGUGAAUGCGUUCCCGGGUCUUGUACACACCGCCCGUCACACCACGGGAGUUGGAGACGCCCGAAGCCGAUUAUCUAACCUUUUGGAAGAAGUCGUCGAAGGUGGAAUUAAUAACUGGGGUGAAGUCGUAACAAGGUAGCCGUAUCGGAAGGUGCGGCUGGAUCACCUCCUUU